GUACUUGCUUCAGCAGUACACAAACUAAAAUUGAUAAGAUUGAUAAGAGAAGAUUAGCAUGGCCCUGUUCAAGAAUGACAUGCAAAUUUGUGAAAUGUUCUCUUUUUUU
ensembl:snRNA U6 U6 spliceosomal RNA